rnacentral:rRNA from 1 species
GACGAACGCUGGCGGCGUGCCUAAUACAUGCAAGUCGAACGCUUCUUUCCUCCCGAGUGCUUGCACUCAAUUGGAAAGAGGAGUGGCGGACGGGUGAGUAACACGUGGGUAACCUACCCAUCAGAGGGGGAUAACACUUGGAAACAGGUGCUAAUACCGCAUAACAGUUUAUGCCGCAUGGCAUAAGAGUGAAAGGCGCUUUCGGGUGUCGCUGAUGGAUGGACCCGCGGUGCAUUAGCUAGUUGGUGAGGUAACGGCUCACCAAGGCCACGAUGCAUAGCCGACCUGAGAGGGUGAUCGGCCACACUGGGACUGAGACACGGCCCAGACUCCUACGGGAGGAAGCAGUAGGGAAUCUUCGGCAAUGGACGAAAGUCUGACCGAGCAACGCCGCGUGAGUGAAGAAGGUUUUCGGAUCGUAAAACUCUGUUGUUAGAGAAGAACAAGGACGUUAGUAACUGAACGUCCCCUGACGGUAUCUAACCAGAAAGCCACGGCUAACUACGUG